AUUUCCUGCAGAUCUCCAAGUUCUGGAGCAAGUGCAGGUUGACUAUGAAUCGAUGCCCGGUUGGCAGAGUGAUAUCUCUACUAUUCGGAACUACAAUGACCUUCCGGUUGCUGCUCGUCGAUAUGUUGAGAGAAUAGAAGAGCUGGUCGGUGUUCCCAUUCACUAUAUUGGUAUUGGACCAGGCCGUGAUGCUCUCAUAUACAAGUAAUUUGAGGGUUGUUCAGGUGAAUUUCAUUGCCCUAAUUUGAAUAUUACUUCAGUGGUUUUG
rnacentral:misc_RNA from 1 species